rnacentral:rRNA from 1 species
UACGUAGGGUGCGAGCGUUGUCCGGAAUUACUGGGCGUAAAGAGCUCGUAGGCGGUUUGUCGCGUUGUUCGUGAAAACUCACAGCUUAACUGUGGGCGUGCGGGCGAUACGGGCAGACUGGAGUGCUGCAGGGGAGACUGGAAUUCCUGGUGUAGCGGUGGAAUGCGCAGAUAUCAGGAGGAACACCGGUGGCGAAGGCGGGUCUCUGGGCAGUAACUGACGCUGAGGAGCGAAAGCGUGGGGAGCGAACAGG